AUUGAACGCUGGCGGCAGGCCUAACACAUGCAAGUCGAGCGGAGCGGGGACGGGUGAGUAACACGUGGGUAACCUCCCAUCAGAGGGGAUAACACUUUGAAACAGGUGCUAAACCGAUACUGAUGGAUGGACCCGCGGUGCAUUAGCAAGUUGGUGAGGUAACGGCUCACCAAGGCCACGAUGCAUAGCCGACCUGGGAGGGUGAACAGCCAAACUGGAAUGGAGACACGGCCCAGACUCCUACGAGAGGCAGCAGUAGGGAAUCUUCGGCAAUGGACGAAAGUCUGACCGAGCAACGCCGCGUGAGUGAAGAAGGUUUUCGGAACGUAAAACACUGUUGUUAGAGAAGCGGUAUCUAACCAGAAAGCCACGGCUAACUACGUGCCAGAAGCCGCGGUAAUAC
rnacentral:rRNA from 1 species